GUUGGACCUAAAAAUAUAAUGCAGGUUGUCUCCAAGCUUGAAGUCAUAAUUGGCUUUCUGACUGGGUUUAUACUAGCAGCUGUUCUGUGCUGUUUGGUCAUCAAAUACCGCAGGAGGAAACAGAACAAUGAUUUUAAAGAUGGUGAUAUUACAGAGACUUUGGAAAUGGUGAAUGAGGUGGAGGAGCCAGAGCUCAACUACGACAUGGUAGAAGUGUCCAAGGCUAACACUGAACUAGAAGAAUUACACUACGCUCGUAUCAACUUCUCCGCCAUGACACCAACAAAACAGAGGGAGAGAUUGACGAGAGAAGAUACAACCAAUACGGAGUAUGCAGAAAUCAAAAGAGAAACAGCCGAACAGAGGCAAGACAUGGAUGAAGAGACGGAAGACAUCCCAGAGGAGCAGGAGGAGGCUGACAUGUCAAACCAAAGUGUCCCAGAGCAGGAGCAGCAAGAACAAGUCUAUUCCAAUGUGAAGGAAAUAAUGGAUGACGAAUGAAGUGCAUUUGAGCAUAUGUUACAGUGUUGGCUAAGUUAGCAAUUUAUGGAAAAAAAA
ensembl:lncRNA